UGCAGAGGUCUCAAGCGUUGUUCGGAUUCAUUGGGCGUAAAGGGUGCGUAGGCGGCGCGGUAAGUCGGAUGUGAAAUCUCGGAGCUUAACUUCGAAACUGCAUUCGAUACUGCCGUGCUUGAGGACUGGAGAGGAGACUGGAAUUUACGGUGUAGCGGUGAAAUGCGUAGAUAUCGUAAGGAAGACCAGUGGCGAAGGCGGGUCUCUGGACAGUUCCUGACGCUGAGGCACGAAGGUCAGGGGAGCAAACGGG
rnacentral:rRNA from 1 species